rnacentral:rRNA from 1 species
AUCUUGGACAAUGGGCGCAAGCCUGAUCCAGCCAUGCCGCGUGGAUGAUGAAGGCCCUAGGGUUGUAAAAUCCUUUCGUCAGGGACGAUAAUGACGGUACCUGAAGAAGAAGCCCCGGCUAACUUCGUGCCAGCAGCCGCGGUAAAACGUAGGACGCGAGCGUUAUCCGGAUUUACUGGGCGUAAAGCGCGGGCAGGCGGUGGUCCAAGUCGGACGUGAAAGCUCCCGGCUCAACUGGGAGAGGUCGUUCGAAACUGGGCCGCUAGAGGGCAGUAGAGGGGCGUGGAAUUCCGGGUGGAGUGGUGAAAUGCGUAGAGAUCCGGAGGAACACCAGAGGCGAAGGCGGCGCCCUGGGCUGCACCUGACGCUGAGCCGCGAAAGCUAGGGGAGCG